AAUUCUCAAACCCUCUUGGUUUCUUGAUCAAGAUGGCUUUGGACUUUGGAGGUGUUUUGCUGGCUUUAUGAAAAGCCAGCUCCUCUUAAAUACAUUAGUGGGAUCCCCUUUGCCGAUCCCCGGGCGUGAUAAGAUGUUUCUACGUCUUGGGAUUUGCUCUGUUCCUUGGGAACCUGCUUCUAACCGUCUCAUGGGAGACAUCGUUCGAGUUUGCUCGACCCACGAA
rnacentral:misc_RNA from 1 species